rnacentral:rRNA from 1 species
GAUGAACGCUGGCGGCGUGCCUAAUACAUGCAAGUCGAGCGAACGGACGAGAAGCUUGCUUCUCUGAUGUUAGCGGCGGACGGGUGAGUAACACGUGGAUAACCUACCUAUAAGACUGGGAUAACUUCGGGAAACCGGAGCUAAUACCGGAUAAUAUUUUGAACCGCAUGGUUCAAAAGUGAAAGACGGUCUUGCUGUCACUUAUAGAUGGAUCCGCGCUGCAUUAGCUAGUUGGUAAGGUAACGGCUUACCAAGGCAACGAUGCAUAGCCGACCUGAGAGGGUGAUCAGCCACACUGGAACUGAGACACGGUCCAGACUCCUACGGGAGGCAGCAGUAGGGAAUCUUGCGCAAUGGGCGAAAGCCUGACGGAGCAACGCCGCGUGAGUGAUGAAGGUCUUCGGAUCGUAAAACUCUGUUAUUAGGGAAGAACAUAUGUGUAAGUAACUGUGCACAUCUUGACGGUACCUAAUCAGAAAGCCACGGCUAACUACGUG